ensembl:lncRNA
UAUGACAACCCACACCGCUAUCAACAAGCAAAACCGAGCAGCAUGUUUUACUGAUGUUUUGAUCUAUUAGAAUGUGGCACAAUGUUCCAAGUCAGUAGCCUGCUCCGUUAUAAUAUUAUUGAAAUAGCAAACCGCAUUUUCACUGGACAUUUUCAAACUUUUAAAAUCAAAAACGCUGGACGCGUAAGCGUGAAUUAUCACUUAGCCACAGCCGUGGAGAAGAAAGCCAUGUUCUGAGAACGUUCAGUGGUGGUGGCCAAACUCUGUAAAUAUGUCUCAGGGCUAUAAAUGUUAGCUAUAUGGGCUCCAUGCUAACCCCAGUCCUCUGUUGGUUAGCAGUGAUGUUUUAGAAGUCCAGUGGGAAAGAAUGCAAGACAGCCUUAUCCUCCAAGCCUUGGACAGGAAAACAAAGUGAUUUCAUCAUUGUACUGAUAUAGAUUCACGCUGAAGGACAAUGACAAGGCAGUAUGCUGGUAUACACUUUACUGGGGCAAAAGGAUUCUGAGUGUUCUGAUGUUCUGAAGUGGAUUACUGGUAUGGAGGCACACAAGAACGGAACGUGCAACUUUAUUAUUGUGUGAUGGCACCUCUACGGGGUAAAAUAUGUUGUCGCUGAAAUAAAUGGAGCAAAAAAUAUAUGUGUUUGCACCCGAGGCGUUCGGCAGCCGUAGAGAAUGAAUUGCGACAGCUGCACAGGCACAGAUAGUUUCAUUGUGCCGCGACAGCAAAAUUGCCCUUGGGGGUGGCAGGAUCCAAGAAUCCGAGGAGGAGGGCGGAGAAAGCCCUGUGUCAGACCUUUCAGUGCCACAACAAUGUCCCGGCACUUAUGCGGUCAGACAGUGGAUUGUCACAGGUUUGUCAGGUGGAUCGCCACGGCAACAACUUUGGGCUAGCAAUGUAGCUUCCAGAGGAUCUAAUUAAUCCUCCUGAGCGACGGAACAUGGGAGUGAUGCUGAGAGACAAAGAAGCUGCUCGAUUUAGCCAGCGCUCACGCUAAACUGAAACAUUGGUCUCCAUUGUCUCUCCCGUGUCUGAGACCAUCUCCUCGUGCUUCGGUUCUAGCUGAUGCAAUCUCAGGUGACAGAACCCCAUCCAGAACAGAGGGAAGUGAAUGCCUUUUUUUUUUAAUCCGGCCUGAACACAGAAUGUUGUGCGGUUUGUUUUUUCCUUCCCA